CUGGCCCUGAAUCAAGGCCGUCGGUUUGCCGUAGCCGUUGGUUUCAAACAGGAGCCCAAAGGAAACAUCUCUUGGUCUGUUGGCUCUCCUGUCUCCAUGGAAUAGCCAAUUCGUUUGGGAGUGACAAAA
rfam:Cuculus canorus isolate BGI_N303 unplaced genomic scaffold scaffold754, whole genome shotgun sequence.